AGUGAACGCUGGCGGCAUGCCUAACACAUGCAAGUCGCACGGGCAGCAAUGUCAGUGGCGCACGUGUGAGUAACACGUAGGAAUGUGUCUUGAGGUGGGGGACAACCCUGUGAAACUAGGGCUAAUACCGCAUAUGUCCUGAGGUACAAAGCAGCGGUGCGCCCUGAGAGUAGCCUGCGUCGGAUUAGCUGGUUGGUGGGGUAAAGGGCUACCAAGGCGAGGAUAGGUAGCUGGUCUGAGAGGACGACCAGCCACACUGGGACUGAGACACAGCCGAGACUCCUACGCAAGGGAGCAGAGCGGGAUAUUGGACAAUCGCCGCAAGGCUGAUGGACCUAUGCCGCGUGAGUGAAGAAGGUCGUCGGAAAGUAAAGCCCUUUCAGCGGGGACGAUGAUGACGGUACCCGAAGAAGAAGCCCCGGCUAACUUCGUG
rnacentral:rRNA from 1 species